AAGGAAUAUUGGUCAAUGGACGCACGUCUGAACCAGCCAUGCCGCGUGAAGGAUGAAGGUCCUCUGGAUUGUAAACUUCUUUUAUCUGGGACGAAAACGGGAUUUUUAUCUCAAUUGACGGUACCAGAGGAAUAAGCACCGGCUAACUCCGUGCCAGCAGCCGCGGUAAUACGGAGGGUGCGAGCGUUAUCCGGAUUUACUGGGUUUAAAGGGUGCGUAGGUGGGCUUAUAAGUCAGUGGUGAAAUCUCCGAGCUUAACUUGGAAACUGCCGUUGAUACUAUAGGUCUUGAAUUAUCUGGAGGUAAGCGGAAUAUGUCAUGUAGCGGUGAAAUGCUUAGAUAUGACAUAGAACACCAAUUGCGAAGGCAGCUUACUACAUAUAAAUUGACGCUGAGGCACGAAAGCGUGGGGAUCAAACA
rnacentral:rRNA from 1 species